rnacentral:misc_RNA from 1 species
UCUCCGUUGGUGAACCAGCGGAGGGAUCAUUAUCGAGUUUAUAACUCCCAAACCCUAUGUGAACUUACCACUUGUUGCUUCGGCGCGCGCUUCGGCGCCGCCGAGGACACUUAAACUCUUUGUUUUUAUAAGCAUUUCUGAGUGACCGAAAGGCAAAAUACAAAUGAAUCAAAACUUUCAACAACGGAUCUCUUGGUUCU